rnacentral:tRNA from 1 species
GCGGAAGUGGCGAAAUUGGCAUACGCGCAGGAUUUAGGUUCCUGUGCCCGUGAGGGCGUGGGGGUUCAAGUCCCCUCUUCCGCACC